UCAGUGGGCUGGGUGACCGCGCUCUGGCAUUUAAGGUGUCGGGGUGAGGAAAGUCCGAGCUCUACCGGGCAGCGUGCUGGGUAACGCCCAGGCGGGGCAACCCGACGGAAAGUGCCACAGAAACACACCGCCCCGAUUCUCGGGGUAAGGGUGAAAUGGUGAGGUAAGAGCUCACCAGCGGCCGGGUGACCGGUCGGCUGGGCAAACCCCACGCGGAGCAAGGCCAAAUAGGAGGACACAAGGACGCCCGGCCUGUCCUCGGGUUGGCCGCUGGAGGUGGUGGGCAACCGCCAUCCUAGAUUGAUGGUCACCGCUCCCUGCCCUAGGCGGGGAGGCACAGAACUCGGCUUAUAGGCCUGCUGGGCCG
rnacentral:RNase_P_RNA from 1 species